rnacentral:rRNA from 1 species
UAACUCGGCAAAUUGCCCCCGUAACUUCGGGAGAAGGGGGACCUCUGUUGGUGAUGGGCUUUACGCCUGGAGCUGGUGGGGGUCGCAGUGGCCAGGGGGAAGCGACUGUUUACUAAAAACACAGGUCCGUGCGAAGUCGUAAGACGAUGUAUACGGACUGACGCCUGCCCGGUGCCGGAACGUUAAGGGGACCGCUUAGCCGACGUGAGUUGGCGAAGGUGAGAACUUAAGCGCCGGUAAACGGCGGUGGUAACUAUAACCAUCCUAAGGUAGCGAAAUUCCUUGUCGGGUGAGUUCCGACCUGCACGAAUGGCGUAACGACUUCCCCGCUGUCUCAACCGCAGACCCGGCGAAAUUGCACUACGAGUAAAGAUGCUCGUUUCGCGCAGCAGGACGGAAAGACCCCGGGACCUUCACUACAGCUUGACAUUGGCGUUUGGAACGUCUUGUGUAGGAUAGGUGGGAGACUAGGAAGCUGUCACGCUAGUGAUGGUGGAGUCAUUGGUGAAAUACCACUCUGGUCGUUUUGAACGUCUAACUCUGGUCCGUGAUCCGGAUCGGGAACAGUGUCUGGUGGGUAGUUUAACUGGGGCGGUUGCCUCCUAAAGAGUAACGGAGGCGCCCAAAGGUUCCCUCAGCCUGGUUGGCAAUCAGGUGUUGAGUGUAAGUGCACAAGGGAGCUUGACUGUGAGACUGACAGGUCGAGCAGGAGCGAAAGCUGGGACUAGUGAUCCGGCAUCGGCGUGUGGAAGCGGUGUCGCUCAACGGCUAAAAGGUACCCCGGGGAUAACAGGCUGAUCUUCCCCAAGAGUCCAUAUCGACGGGAUGGUUUGGCACCUCGAUGUCGGCUCGUCGCAUCCUGGGGCUGGAGUAAGUCCCAAGGGUUGGGCUGUUCGCCCAUUAAAGCGGUACGCGAGCUGGGUUUAGAACGUCGCGAGACAGUUCGGUCCCUAUCCGCUGCGCGCGCAGGAGACUUGAAGGGGGCUGUCCCUAGUACGAGAGGACCGGGACGGACGAACCUCUGGUGUGCCAGUUGUACCGCCAGGUGCACGGCUGGUUGGCUACGUUCGGAAGGGAUAACCGCUGAAAGCAUCUAAGCGGGAAGCUCGCCUUGAGAUGAGGUCUCCCACCACGAGAGUGGGUAAGGCUCCCGGUAGACGACCGGGUUGAUAGGCCGGAGGUGGAAGCACGGUAACGUGUGGAGCUGACCGGUACUAAUAGGCCGAGGACUUGACCG